UACGGGGGGGGUAAGCGUUGUUCGGAAUUACUGGGCGUAAAGGGCUCGUAGGCGGCCAACUAAGUCAGACGUGAAAUCCCUCAGCUUAACUGGGGAACUGCGUCUGAUACUGGAUGGCUUGGAUCCGGGAGAGGGAUGCGGAAUUCCAGGUGUAGCGGUGAAAUGCGUAGAUAUCGUUUGGAACGCCAAUGGUGAGAACAGGCAACUGGGGACAUGCUGACGCUGAGACACGAAAGCCAGGGGAGCGAACGGG
rnacentral:rRNA from 1 species